rnacentral:lncRNA from 1 species
GGGUGCAUUCAUCUAAGGUGCCUUAGGUUGAGAAGAUGUGGAAAUGUAACACUCCCUUCUUCAAUUGAAGAACUCCUUUACUUGCAGAUUAUAGACCUGAGGAAAACAAACUUGGACUCAACACUACCAAACUCUCUCUGGAACAUUCCCACUCUAAGGCAUGUUUACCUGAGCAGUGCAUUUUCUUCACCAAGGAGUGUGGGACACAAAGAGCUCCAGACCUUAUGGUUGACUUGUGCGUCUGUUGGUACCAAAUAUCGCUAUCAUGACAUGGUGACGUUUUUGAGAAAAAUGAGACAACUAACAACCUUGUUCUUGGUAAUGAAGCCCAUGCAUGCUAAGAUAAUGAAUAUAUUUGCGUACAUGCCUCACCUGGUUGAUAUUCAUCUCGCCAGUUUUGGUGUGCUUGAUAAGCUUCCAGAGAGUAAUCACUUCCCGCAGAGCCUUCGGCAUCUCUAUCUAGAAG